rnacentral:lncRNA from 1 species
UUAUAUUUUAUAAUUUUAUAAUUUUUGCUAUUAAAAAGUUUAAUCACAUGAUUAUUGUUUUUUUUUUAAUAUUUAUAAACCAAAAUCUAUCUUUUUUAUGAUUUUUUAUUUUAUUAAUUUGUAAAUAAAGUUAAAAUUAGUUACAAAAAUUGAUCAAUUAAUAAAAUUAUUGUAGUUAUUAAAUUUUGUAAUAAUUUUAUAUAUUUAAUAUCAUUUUUUUG